rnacentral:rRNA from 1 species
GAUGAACGCUAGCUACAGGCUUAACACAUGCAAGUCGAGGGGCAGCACAAGGCAGCAAUGCUGAGGUGGCGACCGGCGCACGGGUGCGUAACGCGUAUCCAACCUUCCCGUUACUCUUGGAUAGCCUUCCGAAAGGGAGAUCAAUACAAGAUGGUGUUGAAAUUCCGCAUGUUAUUUCAACUAAAGAUUUAUCGGUAACGGAUGGGGAUGCGUGACAUUAGAUAGAUGGCGGGGUAACGGCCCACCAUGUCCACGAUGUCUAGGGGUUCUGAGAGGAAGGUCCCCCACACUGGAACUGAGACACGGUCCAGACUCCUACGGGAGGCAGCAGUGAGGAAUAUUGGUCAAUGGCCGGAAGGCUGAACCAGCCAAGUAGCGUGAAGGAUGAAGGUUCUAUGGAUUGUAAACUUCUUUUAUGAGGGAAUAAAACCUCCCACGUGUGGGAGCUUGUAUGUACCUUAUGAAUAAGCAUCGGCUAACUCCGUGCCAGCAGCCGCGGUAACAC